rnacentral:rRNA from 1 species
UGGGGAAUAUUGCACAAUGGGCGCAAGCCUGAUGCAGCCAUGCCGCGUGUAUGAAGAAGGCCUUCGGGUUGUAAAGUACUUUCAGCGGGGAGGAAGGCGAUAAGGUUAAUAACCUUGUCGAUUGACGUUACCCGCAGAAGAAGCACCGGCUAACUCCGUGCCAGCAGCCGCGGUAAUACGGAGGGUGCAAGCGUUUAUCGGAAUUACUGGGCGUAAAGCGCACGCAGGCGGUCUGUCAAGUCGGAUGUGAAAUCCCCGGGCUCAACCUGGGAACUGCAUUCGAAACUGGCAGGCUAGAGUCUUGUAGAGGGGGGUAGAAUUCCAGGUGUAGCGGUGAAAUGCGUAGAGAUCUGGAGGAAUACCGGUGGCGAAGGCGGCCCCCUGGACAAAGACUGACGCUCAGGUGCGAAAGCGUGGGGAGCAAACA